UCUGCAAAGUUACAGCAAGCCUUAGCAAUAACAGAAGCACUUGGGGUAAUACGACAUGGUGUCAGAUACAGAUUACAAGAAGAAGCGAAAAUGGUUUAGCCUUAUACCAAUGGGGGCUUGCAUGGUGGACACGUAAAAUAUUACUGAAUUUAAAUCAUACUGGUCUAGAACCACAAGAGUUAGAAUUGCUGGGCUCCAAGCCAGGAAAUUAUUGUGUUGUUUUCGGAGACAUUUACAAUAACCCAGAACACAAGCGCCCAGUCAAUGACAGUGUAAUAGUAACCCCCUCUAAUGUUGAGGUCUAUAAUUACAGCAUGGGAAGCCCCUAUUGCCUAAACGGAGUAGACUUUAUUGAGACGCUUAACAAAUCCCCACGGCGUUUACCCCCUGCUACGUUUCUAGUCUGUGGAGAUAGGGCAUGGAACGGCAUUCCAGCUAGCCCAUGGGGAGGCCCCUGUUGGUUAGGCAAAUUGACUUUGUUCUCCCCACAACUAAGAGACCUGCAGAAUGUUACCCGAUCACCCAAACGACAAAAAAGGAGUAUAGCCAUGAUGAAUCAAAACUGCAACUCUCACAUAGUUUUGUGGAGUUCCCCUAUCCAAAUCUUAGCUUCUAUCUUUGCUCCUCAUGUUUCAGCAGCCCAUGCGUUGAAACAAAUAACACGGCUAGCAUGUUGGGCUGGGAAGCAAAUCAACAUCACCUCUGACAUUAUAGGGCAACUUACUCUUGAUGUUGAUUCUGUAAGACAUGCGGUACUACAGAAUCGAGCAGCUAUUGACUUUUUGCUUUUAGCGCAUGGACAUGGGUGUGCAGAAUUUGAAGGCAUGUGUUGUUUUAAUUUAUCUGAUCACUCUGCGUCAAUACAUAAGAAAUUACAACAGUUACAAGACGGCAUGCACGAUUUAAUGAUCAAUAGCAACCCUUUUGAUAGUUGGCUACGCUCUUGGGGAAUAGGAAACUGGCUACGCAAUAUAAUAAUAGCUUUAGCCGGUCCCUCUAUCAUUUUAUUGCUUUGCCUUUGCUGUGGACCUUGCUUAUUACAGUGUCUGUUGUCGCAAAUAUAUAAAGUGAUAGACAUGCUAUUUGAAAAAAGAGGGGGAGAUGUAGGGGGCCGGAGAUUGAGAACAGUUGAAAGUAUAUACAGUCGUGUAUAAGAUGAGAAGGUCAUG
rnacentral:lncRNA from 1 species